AAUUUUUAUACGACCGCAAAAAAAUUUUUGUGGUCGUAUAUUGGUAUGACGUUGGCGUCGUCGUCGUCGUCGUCCGGCGUCCGGCGUCGUCGUCCGAAUACACAUUAGUUUUCGCACUCUAACUUUAGUUUAAGUGAAUGGAUCUCAUUGAAAUUUUACCAUAAGGUUCAAUACCACAAAAGGAAGGUGGGGAUUGAUUUUGGGGGUUAUGGUACUAACAGUUAAGGAAUUAGGGGCCAAAAGGGGCCAAAAAUAAGCAUUUUUGUAACUUCCAGACAUAACUUGUGUGUAAGUGUAUGGAUCUCUCUGACAUUGUACCACAAGGUUCCAUAUCACAAAGGGAAUGCUGGGAUUGAUUUUGGGGGUAAUUGUCUCCAAAUUUUAGGAAUUAGGGGCCAAAAAGGGGCAAAAAACAAGCAUUUUUCUAGUUUCAUGACAAUAACUUGUUUGUAAGUGUAUGGAUCUUUAUGAAAUUGUACUACAAGGUUCCAUAUCACAAAGGGAAUACUGGGAUUGAUUUUUGGGGUAAUUUCCUCCAAAUAUUAGGAAUUAGGGGCCAAAAAGGGGCAAAAAACAAGCAUUUUUCUAGUUUCAUGACAAUAACUUGUUUGUUAGUGUAUGGAUCUUUAUGAAAUUGUACUACAAGGUUCCAUAUCACAAAGGGAAGGCUGGGAUUGAUUUUGGGGGUUUUCCCUCAAAAUUUUAGUAAUUAGGGGCCAUAAAAGGGCAAAAAAAACAUGCAUUUUUCUAGUUUCAGGACAAUAACUUGUGUGUAAGUGUAUGGAUCUUUAUGAAAUUGUACUGCAAGGUUCCAUAUCACAAAGGGAAAGCUGGGUUUGAGUGUGGGGGUAAUUGCCCUAAACGUUUAGGAAUUUGGGGCCAAAAAGGGGCCAAAAAACACAUUUUUCUAGUUUCCAGACAAUAACUUGUGUUCAAGUGUAUGGAUCUCUCUGAAAUUGUACUGCAAGGUACCAUACCACAAAGGGAAGGCUGGGAUUGAGUUUGGGGGUGAUGAAUCAUAAGGGGGUUCAAAAAAUUUGGGGGGGGAUUUUUUUUUUUUUUCCUUUUUUUUUUUCUUUUUUUCCUUUUUUUUUCUUUUAAAAUUUUCCAUUUUAAGUUGGUUAUUUCUGAUUUAUAUUUAAAAGCAAAUAAUAAUGAUAUGGUAGAGAUACACACCAAACAGGAUGUGUAAAUUAUUAUAUAAUAAGUAUUGUGCAAUAGCAAGAAAUUUUCAAUUGCACAGUAUUGCACAAUAGCAAGAAAUCUUCAAUUGCACAGUAUUGCGCAAUAGCAAGAAAUCUUCAAUUGCACAGUAUUGCGCAAUAGCAAGAAAUAUCCAAUAGCACAAUAUUGCGCAAUAGCAAGAAAUUGUCAAUUGUACAGUAUUGCGCAAUAGCAAGAAAUAUUUAAUUGCACAGUAUUGUGCAAAAGAAGAUACUUCGUAUAAAUUGCUUAUUUCUUGACCAAUUUCAAUGGGGUUUUAUUCUUGAAUUCUUGGGGUUUUUAUACGACCACAAAAAAAUUUUUGUGGUCGUAUAUUGGUAUGACGUUGGCGUCGUCGUUGUCGUUGUCGUCGUCGUCCUGUGUCGUCCGAAGACACAUUGGUUUUCGCACUCUAACUUUAGUUUAAGUGAAUGGAUCUCUAUGAAAUUUUACCACAAGGUUCAAUACCACAAAAGGAAGGUUGGGAUUGAUUUUGGGGGUUAUGGUACCAACAGUAAAGGAAUUAGGGGCCAAAAGGGGCCAAAAAUAAGCAUUUUUGUAACUUCCAGACAUAACUUGUGUGUUAGUGUAUGGAUCUCUCUGACAUUGUACCACAAGGUUCCAUAUUACAAAAGGAAUGCUGGGAUUGAUUUUGGGGGUAAUUGCCUCAAAAUAUUAGGAAUUAGGGGCCCAAAAAGGGGCAAAAAAACAAGCAUUUUUCUAGUUUCAUGACAAUAACUUGUGUGUAAGUGCAUGGAUCUUUCUGAAAUUGUACUACAAGGUUCCAUAUCACAAAGGAAAAGCUGGAAUUGAGUUUGGGGGUAAUUGCUGAAACGUUUAGGAAUUGGGGGCCAAAAAGGGGCCAAAAAUAAGCAUUUUUCUAGUUUCCAGACAAUAACUUGUGUUCAAGUGUAUGGAUCUUUCUGAAAUUGUACUGCAAGAUACCAUACCACAAAGGGAAGGCUGGUAUUGAUGAUGGGGGUAAUUGCCUCAAUAUUUUAGGAAUUAGGGGCCAAAAAGGGGCAAAAAACAAGCAUUUUUCUAGUUUCAGGACAAUAACUUGUGUGUAAGUGUAUGGAUCUUUCUGAUAUUGUACUACAAGGUUCCAUAUCACAAAGGGAAAGCUGGGUUUGAGUUUGGGGGUAAUUGCCCUAAUUGUUUAGGAAUUUGGGGCCAAAAAGGGGCCAAAAAACACAUUUUUCUAGUUUCCAGACAAUAACUUGUGUUCAAGUGUAUGGAUCUCUCUGAAAUUGUACUGCAAGGUACCAUACCACAAAGGGAAGGCUGGGAUUGAGUUUGGGGGUGAUGAAUCAUAAGGGGGUUCAAAAAAUUUGGGGGGGGGAUUUUUUUUUUUUUUUCUUUUUUUUUCUUUUUUUCCUUUUUUUUCUUUUUUUCCUUUUUUUUUUCUUUUAAAAUUUUCCAUUUUAAGUUGGUUAUUUCUGAUUUAUAUUUAAAAGCAAAUAAUAAUGAUAUGGUAGGAGAUACACACCAAACAGGAUGUGUAAAUUAUUAUAUAAUAAGUAUUGUGCAAUAGCAAGAAAUUUUCAAUUGCACAGUAUUGCACAAUAGCAAGAAAUCUUCAAUUGCACAGUAUUGCGCAAUAGCAAGAAAUCUUCAAUUGCACAGUAUUGCGCAAUAGCAAGAAAUAUCCAAUAGCACAAUAUUGCGCAAUAGCAAGAAAUUGUCAAUUGUGCAGUAUUGCGCAAUAGCAAGAAAUAUUUAAUUGCAAAGUAUUGUGCAAAAGAAGAUACUUCGUAUAAAUUGCUUAUUUCUUGACCAAUUUCAAUGGGGUUUUAUUCUUGAAUUCUUGGGGUUCUUUAAUAUGCUGAAUCUAACCGUGUAUUUAGUUUUUGGAUUUUGGGCCCCGUUUUUAAAUUGGUCCACAUUGAGGUCCAAAGGGUCCAAAAUUAAACUUUGUUUGAUUUCAUCAAAAAUUGAAUUAUUGGGGUUCUUUGAUAUGCCGAAUCUAACCGUGUAUUUAGAUUCUUAAUUUUUGGUUCCGUUUUCAAAUUGGUCUACAUUAAGGUCCAAAGGGUCCAGAAUUAAACUUAGUUUGAUUUUAACAGAAAUUGAAUUCUUAGGGUUCUUUGAUAUGCUGAAUCUAAACAUGUAUUUAGAUUUUUGAUUAUGGGCCCAGUUUUCAAGUUGGUCUGAAUCGGGUCCAAAAUUAAACUUUGUUUGAUUUCAACAAAAAUUGAAUAUAUGGGGUUCUUUGAUAUGCUGAAUCUAACCAUGUAUUUAGAUUUUUGAUUUUUGGGCCCCUUUAUCAACUUUGUCCACAUUGAGGUCAAAAGGGUCCAAAAUUAAACUUUGUUUGAUUUCAUCAAAAAUUGAAUUCUCGGGGUUCUUUGAUAUGCUGAAUCUAACCAUGUAUUUAGAUUUUGGAUAUUGGACCAUAAUAGGUGAAUGUCCAAUUUAAAAUUUUUAAGUUCUUAGACCACAUUCAUUCUGUGUCAGAAACCUAUGCUGUGUCAAAUAUUUAAUCACAAUCCAAAUGCAAAUCUGUAUCAAGCUUGAAUGUUGUGUCCAUACUUGCCCCAACUGUUCAGGGUUCGACCUCUGCGGUCGUAUCAAGCUGCGCCCUGCGGAGCAUUUUAUUUAGAUUCGUUUUCAAAUUGGU